rnacentral:rRNA from 1 species
AAUAUUGGACAAUGGGGGCAACCCUGAUCCAGCCAUGCCGCGUGUGUGAAGAAGGUCUUCGGAUUGUAAAGCACUUUAUGUUGGGAGGAAGGGCUUUAGGUUAAUACCCUGAAGUCUUGACGUUACCAACAGAACAAGCACCGGCUAACUAUGUGCCAGCAGCCGCGGUAAUACAGAGGGUGCAAGCGUUAAUCGGAAUUACUGGUCGUAAAGCACGCGUAGGUGGUUCAGUAUGAUGUGUGAGAAAUCCCCGGACUUAACCUGGGAACUGCUUUCAUAACUGCUGAGCUAGAGUACGGUAGAGGGUAGUGGAAUUACCUGUGUAGCUGAGAAAUGCGUAGAUAUAGGAAGGAACACCAGUGGCGAAGGCGACUACCUGGACUGAUACUGACACUGAGGUGCGAAAGCGUGGGGAGCAAA